CUCAGAUUGAACGCUGGCGGCAUGCCUUACACAUGCAAGUCGAACGGCAGCGACGGGGCAACCUGGUGGCGAGUGGCGAACGGGUGAGUAAUGCAUCGGAACGUGCCAUUGAGUGGGGGAUAACGUAGCGAAAGUUGCGCUAAUACCGCAUAUUCUGUGAGCAGGAAAGCAGGGGACCGCAAGGCCUUGCGCUCUUUGAGCGGCCGAUGUCAGAUUAGCUAGUUGGUGAGGUAACGGCUUACCAAGGCGACGAUCUGUAGCGGGUCUGAGAGGAUGAUCCGCCACACUGGAACUGAGACACGGUCCAGACUCCUACGGGAGGCAGCAGUGGGGAAUUUUGGACAAUGGGCGCAAGCCUGAUCCAGCCAUGCCGCGUGAGUGAAGAAGGCCUUCGGGUUGUAAAGCUCUUUCGGCCGGGAAGAAAUCGCAUGGGUUAAUACCCUGUGUGGAUGGCGGUACCGGAAUAAGAAGCACCGGCUAACUACGUG
rnacentral:rRNA from 1 species